AUGGCCACUACUACAAUAAUAUAUGUAGCUAUGGUUCUCGCCGUGUUUGCCGUCAUGUCCUAUUCAGCCCACGCCGACGACGACUUCAUCUCCCGCACAUGCAAGAAGACCAAGAAUGCUGAAUUGUGUGUGGACGUGCUCCACCAAAAUAUAGAUAGCGACGACGCCUCCAGCGAGCUCGACCUCGCCAACAUCUCGCUAAAAAUAGCCAGUGCUACCGCUGACUUAAACGUCGAGUACACCAAAGACUGGGUCAGGCACAGCCGCCACAAGCCCCAGCGGGGAGCGUUGGUUGCCUGCCGCUUGGCAUAUGCUGACGCUGUAAAUGACCUUAAGCUUCGCGCCAUACCCAAGUUCCACAGCGGGGACUAUGCUGGCGCGAUAAAGCAUGUGUUGGCUGCUAAAGGCGCCGCUGAUGCUUGCGAGAACGCGUUCAAGUGGAUCAAACUGGAGCCGAGACAGCCGAGCUAG
rnacentral:rRNA from 1 species